rnacentral:lncRNA from 1 species
GAAAAUGUUGAUAGGAACCCCCAGCUAUGGAAGGCCUGCUGUACAAAAAUUGUGGUCAUAUGAGGACUGGCCUCGACCAACUGCUCAGGUCUUGGCUCCUGGAACAUCCCACCCCACACCUUGAGUUGUGACCCCCCUCGUGAAAUCUCCGUGUCCUGAGCAUGCCAGGUACUGCCUCACCCAUCCAUCUUUGCCCAGGGGACUUCUCUGUCUGUAUCU